CCCUUAGAUGUUCUGGGCCGCACGCGUGCUACACUGAGUGGAUCAGCGGGUCAGGUUGCGCGAAAGUGUUUCCUAAUCUUGAAAUCCGCUCGUGAUGGGGAUUGACGGUUGCAAUUUUCCGUCAUGAACGAGGAAUACCUUGUAAGCGCGGGUCAUCAUCCCGCGCUGAAUUCGUCCCUGCCCUUUGUACACACCGCCCGUCGCUCCUACCGAUUGAGUGGUCCGGUGAGGCUUUGGGAUCUGAGCGGAAAGAGCGUUUCGCUGUUUCUGCUCGGAAAACUCAGUCGAACCUUAUCAUUUAGAGGAAGGAGAAGUCGUAACA
rnacentral:rRNA from 1 species